ensembl:misc_RNA Metazoa_SRP Metazoan signal recognition particle RNA
GCCGGGCAUGGUGGCGUGUGCCUGUAAUCCUAGCUACUUGGGAGGUUGAGGCAGGAGAAUUGCUUGAACCCGGGAGGUGGAGGUUGCAGUUAGCCGAGAUGGCACCACUGCACUCCAGCCUGGGUGACAGAGCGAGACUCUGUCUCAA